UCAGACUGAAAAUGAUCUCAGGUGUGACAAUGGUCUGAGGUCAGAUAACUGAGCCUAAAGAAAAACGGUGCGUUAAGCUUAUUGCCUGCUCAGCUGUUGGCAGAGUGAUAAAACCCAUGUUCCAACAAAA
rnacentral:snoRNA from 1 species